rnacentral:misc_RNA from 1 species
AGAAAUAUUGCUUGCAGUGUAGGCAUUCGUGCAAGUAUCAUAUUGUAUAUGUUGAGAUUUUUGCAUUUGUAUCUUGCCUACUUCUUUGAUAUUCAUUCCUGAUGCAUGCGUUGAAUCUCUUGUGAAAAAGUUUAUUGGCUUAAAUUCUGAACUUGAGAAACUGGUGCUUCAUUAAAGUUAGUUUGUUAUAAGUCUUGGUGUUGUUUCAAAGAAAUUUUGAGGUCCUGUCCUCCAGUAUCAGCAUUCUGGUUUAAAACUAUUUGUUUAUUUUACUUAUUAAACAAUGUGAUUUGAAUUGGCCUGGUUCAGUUUGAGUAGGAUUGUAUUUCAACUCAAUUGGUUAUGACAAACUUGGCCUUUUAAUUCCUGCAUAAAUGAAUUGCUGAUGAUAGCUGAUCUUGGAUUCAUUAAGGAGUACUUGAUUUUUAUUAGGAUUUCAUAACUUCCUUUUUUAUUUCCAUAUAAUCCUGUUCAUAAUGUUUUCAUCUAUUGAUUUGUGGGCAUGCUUUCUGAUGGAGUUAUUUUUGGAUAGUUGCUUUCCCAUUAAAGAGAACAUGAAGUUGAUUUUCAGCAUCAUGUCUGUAUUAUACUAAUCUAUUCAAUAGAAAUAGGAAAAACUAUUAAAACUUCCUGGAGUGAAAUUUGUAGUUUAUUUCUCAGAUUUCUCUGGAAAGCCAAGUUUAAAACUUUAGGUCCAAAGCUGACAAAUAUGGACCCCAAGUUGGAAUGUACGAACUUGCCCUGAGAUUAACAUGCAGAGAAAGAGAGAGAAUUAUUAAAACUUCCUCAAGCGAAAUUUGUGGUUUAGUACUCUGAUUUUUCUGCUAGUUUAGAACUUGAUCUUAUGGCCUAAACUGACAGAUAUCAUUAUGGUUCUUAUUCUUUUAAACUGGAGCAGCGAGAGAAAGUUUUGGAUGGUGUGGUUUGGCAUAGAUGGGCUCAUUUUGCUUUUCAAUUUGAGGCAAGUUUUGCUAUUUUAGUAGAAAAAUAAAGAAAGAAGGUGCAAUGCCAUGUGGUUGCUUAUCUAAUUGUGUAUCUUUACCUCCUCCAUUUUCAAACUAGAAUUUCCUCUUUUCUGCUUUGGCACGUCUCUUGCAGGAAAGAACCAAUUUAUGCUUUCUUCACAAAAAAAGAAGUCCAAAACUGGAGAAUCUCAUUGGUCUCCUCCAUUUUUCUUGUAUAUUUGAUUUUUCAUUGCCUGAUUUAUACUUUGGAUACUUCUUCUGAAGAUCAUGGAAUUUGCAAUUGGAGAUAACUGAGGAACUAGGCCUAAAAAAAAGGGGGAAUUCUGGAUCUAGUUUAAUGAUCUCAGCCAGACUUGCAUUUGUUGACCAAGAAAGUGGCUGUGGAUAUUAGGGAUUGAUAGUUUUGAAGCAGAGGAUGCAGACUGAUAAGGUGAGGUGCCCAUGGGCUGUGACUGAGGAUAAGAGGGUUUGAUAAAGGUCAAUUUGUGAAGAUGGAGAAAACAGAAAAAAUAAGAUAAUGGGAGGGGGUUAAAACUUUAGAGGGAAUUUUGGCCUAAUUUUUAUUUAACAAAAUCAGUUAAAAGUUAUUAGACAGACAAUUAGAGGACCAACCAGCAGAUUUCAUAUUAACUUGGCAAGGUUUUUGUAAUUUUCCCCUAGCUAUCUUUCUGAAUUGAUAAGUAAAGAAAAUCCAAGUCUUUAUGGUCUGAUACUUUGUAUCUCAAGAUGUGCUGCAUUUUUUAUUUAUAUUUAGUUGAUCUUCUGUAAAUUCAAAUCCAUAUAAUGCGACGCUUACUCGCUCAGGUCGUGGGAUGUGCUUAUUUUUUAUGUUCAUAUAAUGGUUCCCAUAUUCUGACAUUUAACGGUAAAUGCUUCAUUUACUGAGUUGCUGAAAUUAUAUCCUUGCCAAUGGCACUUGCAUAUUUCUUCCAGGACUGGAAUUGCAUACAUAUCGAAUGUUGCAGUUCGGGAGAUAUUCCGGCGGAAGGGGAUAGCCAAGAGACUUAUAGCAAAGGCAGAGGCUCAAGCCAGGAGCUGGGGAUGUCGUGCCAUUGCUUUGCAUUGUGACCUGAACAAUCCCGGAGCCACAAAACUGUACAAAGGCCAGGGUUUCAAAUGUAUUAAGGUGCCAGAAGGAGCAAACUGGCCUCAGCCGAUGACCUCUCCAGAUAUCAAAUUCAACUUCAUGAUGAAACUUCUGAAAAACCCAACAACCGCUUAGAAC